GCAUAUCAAUAAGCGGAGGAAAAGAAACCAACAGGGAUUGCUCUAGUAUACGGCGUAGUGAAGCAGCAAUAGCUCAAAUUUGAAAUCUGGCGUCUUCGACGUCCGAGUUGUAAUUUGUAGAGGAUGCUUCUGAGUGGCCACCGACCUAAGUUCCUUGGAACAGGACGUCAUAGAGGGUGAGAAUCCCGUAUGCGGUCGGAAAGGCGCUCUAUACGUAGCUCCUUCGACGAGUCGAGUUGUUUGGGAAUGCAGCUCUAAAUGGGAGGUAAAUUUCUUCUAAAGCUAAAUAUUGGCCAGAGACCGAUAGCGCACAAGUAGAGUGAUCGAAAGAUGAAAAGCACUUUGGAAAGAGAGUUAAAAAGCACGUGAAAUUGUUAAAAGGGAAGGGAUUGCAACCAGACUUGCUCGCGGUGUUCCGCCGGUCUUCUGACCGGUCUACUCGCCGCGUUGCAGGCCAGCAUCGUCUGGUGCCGCUGGAUAAGACUUGAGGAAUGUAGCUCCCUCGGGAGUGUUAUAGCCUCUUGUGAUGCAGCGAGCGCCGGGCGAGGUCCGCGCUUCGGCUAGGAUGCUGGCGUAAUGGUCGUAAUCCGCCCGUCUUGAAACACGGACCAAGGAGUCUAACAUCUAUGCGAGUGUUCGGGUGUCAAACCCCUACGCGUAAUGAAAGUGAACGGAGGUGAGAACCGCAAGGUGCAUCAUCGACCGAUCCUGAUGUCUUCGGAUGGAUUUGAGUAAGAGCAUAGCUGUUGGGACCCGAAAGAUGGUGAACUAUGCCUGAAUAGGGUGAAGCCAGAGGAAACUCUGGUGGAGGCUCGCAGCGGUUCUGACGUGCAAAUCGAUCGUCAAAUUUGGGUAUAGGGGCGAAAGACUAAUCGAACCAUCUAGUAGCUGGUCUGCGAG
rnacentral:rRNA from 1 species